GUUGGUGAGGUAACGGCUCACCAAGGCGACGAUCCCUAGCUGGUCUGAGAGGAUGACCAGCCACACUGGAACUGAGACACGGUCCAGACUCCUACGGGAGGCAGCAGUGGGGAAUAUUGCACAAUGGGCGCAAGCCUGAUGCAGCCAUGCCGCGUGUAUGAAGAAGGCCUUCGGGUUGUAAAGUACUUUCAGCGGGGAGGAAGGUGUUGUGGUUAAUAACCGCAGCAAUUGACGUUACCCGCAGAAGAAGCACCGGCUAACUCCGUGCCAGCAGCCGCGGUAAUACGGAGGGUGCAAGCGUUAAUCGGAAUUACUGGGCGUAAAGCGCACGCAGGCGGUCUGUCAAGUCGGAUGUGAAAUCCCCGGGCUCAACCUGGGAACUGCAUUCGAAACUGGCAGGCUUGAGUC
rnacentral:rRNA from 1 species